rnacentral:rRNA from 1 species
UACGUAGGGGGCAAGCGUUGUCCGGAAUUAUUGGGCGUAAAGAGCUCGUAGGCGGCCUGUUGCGUCCGCUGUGAAAUCCCGGGGCUCAACCCCGGGCCUGCAGUGGAUACGGGCUGGCUAGAGGCAGGCAGGGGAGAACGGAAUUCCUGGUGUAGCGGUGAAAUGCGCAGAUAUCAGGAGGAACACCGGUGGCGAAGGCGGUUCUCUGGGCCUGUACUGACGCUGAGGGGCGAAAGCGUGGGGAGCGAACAGG